CGGAGGGUGCGAGCGUUAUCCGGAUUUACUGGGUUUAAAGGGGGCGCAGGCGGGCCUGUAAGUCAGUGGUGAAAUACUUGGGCUCAACCCGGGAACUGCCAUUGAUACUAUGGGCCUUGAAUGACGUUGAGGUUUGCGGAAUGGGUCAUGUAGCGGUGAAAUGCAUAGAUAUGACCCGGAACACCUAUUGCGAAGGCAGCAGGCUAAACGUAUAUUGACGCUGAGGCCCGAAAGCGUGGGGAUCAAACAGGAUUAGAUACCCUGGUAGUCCACGCCCUAAACUAUGGAUACUCGACAUUGGCGAUACACAGUCAGUGUCUGAGCGAAAGCAUUAAGUAUCCCACUGGGAAGUACGGCCGACAAGGCUG
rnacentral:rRNA from 1 species